GACGUAGGGGGCAAGCGUUGUUCGGAAUUAUUGGGCGUAAAGCGCUCGUAGGCGGGACUGGAAGUCCGUGUUGAAAGACCUCGGCUCAACUGAGGGACCGGCUCGGAUACUCUAGUUCUUGAGGCAAUCAGAGGGUGAUGGAAUUCCCGGUGUAGCGGUGAAAUGCGCAGAUAUCAGGAGGAACACCGAUGGCGAAGGCAGGUCUCUGGGCCACUACUGACGCUGAGAAGCGAAAGCAUGGGGAGCGAACAGG
rnacentral:rRNA from 1 species